rnacentral:rRNA from 1 species
UGACCUGCCCGGUGACUUAUAAAGUUAAACGGCUGCAGUACUCUGACUGUGCAAAGGUAGCAUAAUCAUUAGCCUGUUAAUUCCAGGCUGGAAUCAACGGUUGGACGAUAGGAAUACUGUCUUUUUUUUCUUAAUUCGAAUUUUUUGUUGAAGUGAAGAAACUUUAAUAUUAUAGUGGGACGAGAAGACCCUAUAGAGCUUUAAGCUUCUUGUUAAGUUUUAUUUGGUGGGAAGUUUUUAGUUGGGGCAACUGUUUUUAAAAUUAAGCAUGAAAUGAAAAUUGGUAAUUCGAGUUUGUUUUCCGGUGACCCAAAAGUUUUUGGUAAUUGGAAAAAGUUACCUUAGGGAUAACAGCGUAAUUUCUUUUGAGAGAACGUAUUGACAAAGAAGUUUGCGACCUCGAUGUUGGAUUAAGAUUUCCUGGAAGUGCAGCAGCUUCCAAGGGUUGGUUUGUUCAACCAUAAAAGUCUUACGUGAUCUGAGUUCAAAACCGGCA